rnacentral:misc_RNA from 1 species
AAGUCGUAACAAGGUUUCCGUAGGUGAACCUGCGGAAGGAUCAUUAACACGUUAUCCACGUAUCAACCAAUGAGAACCUGUUUUCGCCCUCUCCUCCUGAGAAUGAAUUGGAGCUUGCUUAGAGUUAUUGAAUGGGAUGCUUUGCGUCAGGCUCUACUCGCUACUUACGGGACGUAGAAAUACGUUGCGUAGACAAUUGGAUUUCAGGUUAGGAUCACCUCUCACCGUUCGGGUCUCCAUUCAUUGACUUUUUCGGUGAGAACUCAUAUUAACCCAUUUCACCCCCUUUUUGCUAGUUGACUUUUAUAUGUUGUUCAUUUGCUUCGGCAAGUGUGCACACGUUUAAUUAUUUGAACGUUAAAAAUACAACUCUUAGCAAUGGAUAUCUAGGUUCUC